AAUAGAUACCCUGGUAGUCCUAGCCGUAAACGAUGAACACUAGGCGUAGUCGGUAUCGACCCCGGCUGUGCCGUAGCUAACGCAUUAAGUGUUCCGCCUGGGGAGUACGGCCGCAAGGCUAAAACUCAAAGGAAUUGACGGGGGCCCGCACAAGCAGCGGAGCGUGUGGUUUAAUUCGUCGCAACGCGAAGAACCUUACCAGGGCUUGACAUGUGGCGGAAAACGGCGGAAACGUCGUCCUCCCGCAAGGGACCGUCAUGCAGGUGUUGCAUGGCUGUCGUCAGCUCGUGUCGUGGGAUGUUGGGUUAAGUCCCGCAACGAGCGCAACCCCCGUGGCAUGUUGUAUCUCUCAUGCCAGACUGCCGAGAGAAACUCGGAGGAAGGUGGGGAUGACGCCAAGUCAGCAUGGCCCUUACGUCCUGGGCUACACACACGCUACAAUGGCCGGUACAACGGGUUGCCAAACCGCGAGGUGGAGCUAAUCCCUUAAAGCCGGUCUCAGUUCGGAUUGCAGGCUGCAACUCGCCUGCAUGAAGGCC
rnacentral:rRNA from 1 species